rnacentral:lncRNA from 1 species
GAGAAAUUGGAAUUUUAGCCAGAGAGCAUGUUCUACUUAGGGAAGAGGAGAUUCUCUUGAUUACAAAUAUUGCAUAAUAUCACAGUGGUCACUGUGGAGGGAAAGGUGUGGGAAAACACCUUUGAGCUAAGCUCAGGAGGAGCCGCUGACCUAGGCAACUCUGCUGAUCACUGUGAAGAUUACAAAACACCUCAACUGGAAGGUGAUUACAAAACACCUCAACUGGAAGGUGCUGUUACAAUGAGGAUGGCUCAGCGCUGUCAAUGGAUAGACGUGAUAAGCAUGUUGAUAAGAUUCUUGAUGUGUCUAGAAUGCUGGAACCACCUCAAGGAAGGCAAUGUUUGAAGCAACAAAGUGAUCCUGGUCCUGAAUUCGGAGACCCACCUCUUGUUAAUAUUGCGUCUAUGUUACCAUCGGGUUAUUACAUAUUCCCAUCACAAGCUCUGAAAACAUGCAAAACCACUUGACAAAAAGGAUAAACAAGAGAAAAAGGGGGACUGAACUACAACCAGAUGUGCAAUACCACCUGCUAAGGUGGGUUUCAGAAACAAAAAAGAUGAGCCUAAAAUAGAAACAGAUUACUACCCUCUAAUGAUCUAAAAUGAUGCUUAGAAAACAAAAAGCAGCUGGCCGGGCACAGGGACUCAUGCCUGUAAUCCCAGCACUUUGGGAGGCCGAAGCAGGUGGAUCACCUGAGGUCAAGACCAACCUGGGCAACAUGAUGAAACCCUGUCUCUAUUAAAAAUACAAAAA